UACGAAGGGGGCUAGCGUUGUUCGGAAUUACUGGGCGUAAAGCGCGUGUAGGCGGGUCUUUAAGUCAGGGGUGAAAUGCCAGGGCUCAACCUUGGAACUGCCUCUGAUACUGGAGACCUUGAGUCCGGGAGAGGUGAGUGGAAUUGCGAGUGUAGAGGUGAAAUUCGUAGAUAUUCGCAAGAACACCAGUGGCGGAAGGCGGACUCACUGGCCCGGAACUGG
rnacentral:rRNA from 1 species